rnacentral:rRNA from 1 species
UAGGGAAUAUUGCAAAAUGGGCGAAAGCCCGAUGCAGCAACGCCGCGUGGGCGAUGAAGGCCUUCGGGUCGUAAAGCCCUUUUUGAGGGGAUGAGGAAGGACAGUACCCUCAGAAUAAGCCUCGGCUAACUACGUGCCAGCAGCCGCGGUAAAACGUAGGAGGCGAGCGUUAUCCGGAUUUACUGGGCGUAAAGCGCGUGCAGGCGGAUUGGAGAGUUGGAUGUGAAAGCUCCCGGCUUAACUGGGAGAGGUCGUUCAAUACUACUGCACUUGAGAGGGGUAGAGGGAGGUGGAAUUCCGGGUGUAGUGGUGAAAUGCGUAGAUAUCCGGAGGAACACCAGUGGCGAAAGCGGCCUCCUGGACCACUUCUGACGCUCAGACGCGAAAGCUAGAGUAGCGAACG